rnacentral:rRNA from 1 species
GUGGGGAAUAUUGGACAAUGGGCGAAAGCCUGAUCCAGCCAUGCCGCGUGUGUGAAGAAGGUCUUCGGAUUGUAAAGCACUUUAAGUUGGGAGGAAGGGCAUUAACCUAAUACGUUAGUGUUUUGACGUUACCGACAGAAUAAGCACCGGCUAACUUCGUGCCAGCAGCCGCGGUAAUACGAAGGGUGCAAGCGUUAAUCGGAAUUACUGGGCGUAAAGCGCGCGUAGGUGGUUCGUUAAGUUGGAUGUGAAAGCCCCGGGCUCAACCUGGGAACUGCCUCCAAAACUACUGGGCUAGAGUACGGUAGAGGGUAGUGGAAUUUCCUGUGUAGCGGUGAAAUGCGUAGAUAUAGGAAGGAACACCAGUGGCGAAGGCGACUACCUGGACUGAUACUGACACUGAGGUGCGAAAGCGUGGGGAGCAAACAGGAUUAGAAACCCCGGUAGUCC